CGAGCGAUCACCUUCUUUUACUUCGCCACCAUCGAUCGAUCCAUUGGUGGCGAGCGUUGAGGACGAGGACUCCAUGAAAAUGUAGUUUACUGAGCUCGCUUUCAAUUCGAAGCUCGUCAUCACUAUGCCCGCCAUCAACGCCGGCGAUAAUGCGCUGUUCUUCGCCGAUGCGAUUGCCGCAACCACCGUAUACGGUGACAUUUCUCCACGUGAGGUGACUCAUCUUCCUCUUAUCUGAUUUCGACCAUUGUGCUUCAGGAUGUUGUUUUGUGAAGAGAUUCACGAUCCACAACAAAGCGGAAGGGAAUAAAAUAAUUGUUGCACGUGAUGUUGUAUUCUUUUAUUCUAGUUGCUAGUUAAGCAGUUGCCACUUUAAAUUUGAGUUCCUAAGUUUGAUCUAUGGUUCGGAAUGUUAUUGGAAUAGAAUUUUAAUUGCAUAGUUUGGAUGUUGUGCCUUAAUGGUUUUCCAUCUCUAUUGAUUUUCCAGUGAACGAAUGUCAAUGAUGAUGGCAAUCAGUUAUGUCUGUAGCAUAAAUAUGAUUGUGCUGCAAUUAGAGGGUUUUUUUUUUUUUUAUGUUUUAAUUCUUGCUGAAUGCCGCAUUAUUGUGUUCCAUGUAGAAUAUAGAUAUCCCAUUAAAAAAUGAAAAGUGUUGCAUACAAAUGUCUAAUAUCUGCUAUCUGACUACUGCUUAUUCUCUAUCUGUCUUUUCCUUUGUUUGCAUGGAAUAGAGGGUAGGCUCAGCUCAGCCUUUUUUAAUCCUUCCUAUUUUGUUUCUUCUCAAGUCUCUACCCUGUUCAAGUAUUUUUUUUUUGAUUAAACAGGGGUAAACCCUAUUUUACAAAGGUGAAGAGAUUACAGGGGUAAACCCUGUUCAAGUAUUUUAUUUGCCUGAACCAUCUGGAUAGGGAUGGUGAUGGUGGGAGUGUAUAUAGCAGAGCUGUCGAAGUGAGUCGAAUAGCGCGCGCAAAGUGUAACAGGAGAGGAACAAUUGAGAAUUAGGACGCUGUCAUGUACAGUGAAUUGGUUUGCUUUAAGAGUAAGACACAUGACUUUGGCAUUAAAAGGAGAAGUGAAAGCUGAACCACAGCAAAGUGCGAGUUGAUUUACUUCCUUAUCAGUCCUUUUUUUUUGUUAAUUUAACAAUUAACAAAUAGAAUUUUGAAGCUACUCUAGUGGUUCAAGUUUUUAAAUCCAACUCUAAAAUAGUUACAUUCUUUGUCAUUAGUGCUUGUAAGUAGCUUGAUACUUUUCUAAAUAUUCCUGUGCAAGCACCUAAUAGAAUAACAGUUUUAACGUCUUUGCUUGUCUUUUUUGUUUUGCAUGAUCAGAUGACUAGUUGAUACUAAAAAAAGGAAAUUCUUUUUGCUAGGUUUUUACAGUGCUGUAGUCUGUCUUAGAAGGCAGAUGCCUUCUCUGAAUCAGAUAUCAUUGAUUGUGGUUUGCUGCAGAAUCAUGCAACAUGCAAUGCCUUAGACGAAGUUUUCUUGUCCAUAAAACAGGAGGAACCAAUCAUUCGUCGGAGGAUUCAUAUUCCUGAUCACAAGUGUUCGAAAUAAAAAUUGCAAAGCUUGUUGCUGAUUUGUGUCACUGCUCUUAGUUUUAAUGAUGAUUUCUUCCCUGUUCCCAGUGUCAGGUGUGGGCGAUUCUUGGUGACACCCACUAUCUAUUUUGCCUUUUUACCUAUUUUGCUUUCUUAAUGCUUUGGCACAAUCUACAGCUUCUACCAUAAAAGAGAACAGGA
rnacentral:lncRNA from 1 species